AGAGUUUGAUCCUGGCUCAGGACGAACGCUGGCGGCGUGCCUAACACAUGCAAGUCGAGCGGAGACAGUGAGUAGCUUGCUAUGAGCUGUUUUAGCGGCGGACGGGUGAGUAACGCGUGAGCAACCUUUCCCAGACAGGGGAAUAACACACCGAAAGGUGUACUAAUACCGCAUAAGACCACGGUUUCACAUGGAACUGGGGUAAAAGAUUUAUCGGUUUGGGGUGGGCUCGCGUCCGAUUAGGUAGUUGGUGAGGUAACGGCCCACCAAGCCGACGAUCGGUAGCCGACCUGAGAGGGUGAUCGGCCACAUUGGGACUGAGACACGGCCCAAACUCCUACGGGAGGCAGCAGUGGGGAAUAUUGGGCAAUGGAGGAAACUCUGACCCAGCAACGCCGCGUGGAGGAAGAAGGUUUUCGGAUCGUAAACUCCUGUCCUUGGAGACGAGUAGAAGACGGUAUCCAAGGAGGAAGCCCCGGCUAACUACGUGCCAGCAGCCGCGGUAAUACGUAGGGGGCAAGCGUUGUCCGGAAUAAUUGGGCGUAAAGGGCGCGUAGGCGGCUCGGUAAGUCUGGAGUGAAAGUCCUGCUUUUAAGGUGGGAAUUGCUUUGGAUACUGUCGGGCUUGAGUGCAGGAGAGGUUAGUGGAAUUCCCAGUGUAGCGGUGAAAUGCGUAGAGAUUGGGAGGAACACCAGUGGCGAAGGCGACUAACUGGACUGUAACUGACGCUGAGGCGCGAAAGUGUGGGGAGCAAACAGGAUUAGAUACCCUGGUAGUCCACACUGUAAACGAUGAAUGCUAGGUGUAGGGGGUAUCGACCCCUUCUGUGCCGCAGUCAACACAAUAAGCAUUCCGCCUGGGGAGUACGGCCGCAAGGUUGAAACUCAAAGGAAUUGACGGGGGCCCGCACAAGCAGCGGAGCAUGUGGUUUAAUUCGACGCAACGCGAAGAACCUUACCAGGUCUUGACAUCCACUUAAACUUACAGAGAUGUAAGGUGUGCUUGCACAAAGUGAGACAGGUGGUGCAUGGUUGUCGUCAGCUCGUGUCGUGAGAUGUUGGGUUAAGUCCCGCAACGAGCGCAACCCUU
rnacentral:rRNA from 1 species